rnacentral:lncRNA from 1 species
CCUUUAUAUCUCAUAAGUUGCUGCGUCUUUAACCAUUUCCUGAUCUCACCCUCCACCCCAUCCCGUGCCUUCCUCUUUUAAAAUCUCUGUGUGUAUGUGUCCCUGUGUGCUUGUGUGUGCCCAUGUAUGUGUCCAUGCCUGUGUGCAUGCCUGGAUACUGUGAAUGUAGCUGCAGACAGAUCAGGGCACUUGUGAGCUCAGAGGUUAAUCGUGGUGCAGGGCUUCAUCUUCCAUCUUGUUUCUCACUGCUUAUGCCAGGCUAGCUAGCUUUCGGGGACUCUUCUGUCUCUGUCCUCACAUGUCCUGGUAGGAGUGCUCGAAUUAUAGACAUGCUGCCCAGCUUCUGUCUUGCUUUUUCACCUGCCAUGACACUCGAAUAAUUGCUAUUACUUAGCUGGUUACCCGCUUCGAGUCAAUCACCCUGAGAUGUUGGUCUUCAUCCCCAACUUGACUAGAUUUAGAAUCACGUAGGAGGUACACAUCUAAGCACAUCUGUGGUGUUUUCAGAUAAAUUCAACUGUGUAAGGAAGAUCCAGUUACAUGUGGGCAACGGCAGCCAAUGGGCUGGGGCCUGAGAAUCAGCAUUCAUCCGUUUCUUGACUGUGUGACAGCCUGAAUCCAACCUCAGUGUGCCUCUGUCAGGAUGCGAUGGUGAACAAGACAGCCACAGACCAGCUCUCCUUGGAAACUGAGCUCAGAGGUGGAAACCAACCUAAAUAAACGAGCACUGGAGUCUGGGUCUCCAGGGUUAACAUGAGUGCUUCGUAGGCAUGGCAGCCUACUUGAAAUCCGGGAACUGUGGGAUUUGAUGAGGAUGGGGAACGCCAAGGGAAACAGGGUACUCAGAGCACGCUGGUCAACAAGCCAACAGAACAGUGGCCUCUGUGCCCAGUAAACACGCUGGUGAGCAGCAGUGAAGUAUGACACCUAAGAUCAACUUCUGUCCUGCAUGUGUGUGUGCACAUACACAUAUCCAUAUUUCACACACACCCCCAUACAUAUGCAUACAUGGGAAAAGAAGGAGAAAGAAGACUGACUAGCAGCCGCAUGUCGAGGAGAGCAGGAUCUUAUCUUCGCAGUGUUUCCCUGUGGUAUUUACUGCCCUUGUUAUGGUCGUUGAUUCUAGAACUUGCCAGCCAGUGGGUAGAUGAGGCUGAACCAAUACAUACUGGGUCUGCAUGUGGAAGAAUGAGGCUUGCAGCCAACGGCCGUCCACAUCUCUGAUGAGGAUCAGUGGUGCCAU